rnacentral:tRNA from 1 species
GGGGGUGGAGCUCCGUGGUAAAGCACUUGCCUGGCAUGUGUGAGGCCCUGGGUUCCAUCCCAGCACCACCA